AUGAACGCUAGCUACAGGCUUAACACAUGCAAGUCGAGGGGCAGCAUGUGGUUGCUUGCAACCAAUGAUGGCGACCGGCGCACGGGUGAGUAACGCGUAUCCAACCUGGCCCGCAGUAGGGAACAGCCCGGCGAAAGUCGGAUUAAUGCCCUAUGUCUUCCUUUGCAGGCAUCCAAUGAGGAAGAAAGAUUUAUCGCUGCGGGAUGGGGAUGCGUCUGAUUAGCUUGUCGGCGGGGUAACGGCCCACCGAGGCGACGAUCAGUAGGGGUUCUGAGAGGAAGGUCCCCCACACUGGUACUGAGACACGGACCAGACUCCUACGGGAGGCAGCAGUGAGGAAUAUUGGUCAAUGGGCGAGAGCCUGAACCAGCCAAGUAGCGUGCAGGGAACCGACUGCCCUAUGGGUUGUAAACUGCUUUUAUGCGGGGAUAAACUUCAGCACGUGUGCUGUUUUGCAGGUACCGCAUGAAUAAGGACCGGCUAAUUCCGUGCCAGCCGCCGC
rnacentral:rRNA from 1 species